CUUGUAAUGUUAUAGACUUUAUAUAAAGUUGUUUUGAAAACAAUUUAUAAGAUUAUUCUUUAAAGUCA
rnacentral:tRNA from 1 species